rnacentral:lncRNA from 9 species
GUGUGGAGCCUUCUAUUCAAACGCACGUGUCGACCACUGCCCAGCAAGCUGACCUCACUGCUCUCCUCAUCUCCUGCGUACCCGCUGCUCAGUCGGCUAACAUCACUGCUUUGCUCUAGGCUGGAUGAUUGCAGGCUUGGCACGUCGCUCUCGUGGCUCCAGGUAUUUCCCAGGUGACUGCCUGAAUCUCUCAGGGGCUCCUGAGUGACCCCUGCAUCAUGGCGCGGCCGUGCGGGGAACUGUGGCUCUAAACUGGGUGACUGUAGGCCUGGACCCUGGCCUUGAGCAUGCGAGGCAGGAGACGCCCCUUGUUUAUCCUGGAGGAAAGUGGGGGGCAGCUGAGUUGGUUUCUCCAGGAGGAGGGGGCCCCCGGAGGCCUCUGAAUGUUGGGUGUGGCCUGUCUGGGCAGAUGAGGCCCAAUUUAUAAGGCUCCCUUUCAAGAGGGAGUGUUCUGAUUGGCUGGCUCGGUUCCCAUGGUGAUGGUGCCUGUGAGGCAGGCGGGGCUUGAGGAGAACAAUGCUGAGGUGGCCCCAGGUGCCUCGGUGGCCAAGGCUGCAGGAAGGAGUUGCAGCUUUCAUCAAAUUCUCAGGGGUGUCUGUGAUCCUCAAAAGAUCAAGAAGGAUAAAGAUUCAAUGCAACUCUGGCCUAACAUUUGGGAGACGGAUGGCCCCAGUGUGGAGCCUGACUGUGAUGGGUUCGGGGCCGGCUGGCUCUGUUUGGGGUGUGGGGUACUGGGGUGGGGGGUGGGGGGGCUCCUUGGUGGGUGGACGGCCCCACCCCUUGGCAGUCAUCAGUGCUCAUUGUCACUGUCCUCUUUGUCAUGAAUGCCUCUCCCGUCACCUGAGGCCAUGCAGCUUUCCUCUGCUGCACACAGAGGCCUCUCUUUUGCUUCAGAAAUUCCAAUUCUUCCUGGGCUGCAAGGGCAUUGCACAGCUGUCUGAUUCUUUGUCCCCAAAGCCCUACAUUCCCUACCAGGGCGUGGCGGAGAAGGAACAGAAUGGUGGCUUAGUGGUGAUGCCAGAGGAAGGGGCGUGGUGGGAACCCACCGCUGCAGAAAGCAGGGACCAGGCCUCGCUUUAAGGGACUGGCAGGACAGUGGCAGGUUUGGACACUGGGCAGGUAAGCUGGGGCUUAAGACAGGCUCUGCUCCAGCAUGAUGAUAAAAUAAGGUGGGUGCCUUGACGCUGAGGAUUAAUGAUGAGCCUCCAGGGACCCCUAUUCCCCCCGCUCCCCAUCCCACCUGCCCCAGGUACAGUGUGCUCUGGGCCUGAGGCCUAGAGGGAACACCCAGGCACGUGUGCAGGAUAAAGGGAGGAGAGCACCAGUGAUCCGAGCCCUGUUCCUCUCCCGCACAGGUAGAGAAUCUGUGGAUACAGUGAGGCCACGCGCACAGCCCGGGCUUGGCUCAGCACCCUCUUUCUGAAAAUCUCUCUUGGUCACUCUGGAGUCCUGGGAAGGUACCAGACCACAGCUGGCCCUGGCACCCUCCAGGGAUGCUGAUGCUCAAGGCUCCAAUGGGAGCUCCUGAGCUCACGGCAUCUGGGGAGAAGUAGGUGGACGCUGUUUUCCCCAUGGGCUCCCUUCUCCUCCUGGUGACCAGGUACCAGGUUGCCUGUCCAGCCUCCACUGCUGUUUCCCCCCAGAACCCUUAUCUCCCCCAAAGGCACAAUCUGGCCACUUUCUCCAGAUUCCCCCUUUUUCUUUCUUUCUUUCUUUUUUUUUUUUUUUUUUGUCUUUUUACGGCCGCACCUGCAGCAUAUGGAGGUUCCCAGGCCAGGGGUCCAAUUGGAGCUGUAGCUGCCAGCCUACACCUCAGCCACAGCAACACCAGAGCUGAGCCACAUCUGAGCCACAUCUGUGACUACACCACUACAACGCUGGAUCCUUAACCCACUGAGCGAAGCCAGGGAGCCAACCCAGGUCCUCAUAGAUAUUAGUCAGGUUUGUUAACUGCUGAGCCAUCAUGGGAACUCCCAGAUUCCCCUUUCCCUGGUGGAUUCCAGUUUCUUCACACAGAUGACAGACCCUAAGACCUUAGCCUGACACUGCAUCCCAGCCGAGGUCAGACGGGAAGCGUAGAUACAAUCACGCUAUCUGUGUGUCCUGGAGACGGGUGUCUGCCCUUCCUGGGUGUGGCAGAGACAAAGCGACCUGUCCCCCCACCCCCCCAUCUCAUUCCUCUCCUGCGCCCGCAGGAAAUGCACGGUUUCCAACCUCCUCACCUCUAGGUGGCGCCAAUAGAACGAGGGCGGAAGGAGUGGUCCGUGUUCUAGCCCGGAGAUCCCCUCGCAUCCUUGUCUUUCUUCCCUUUCUGCUGCGACCUUGGAAGCCACGCCCUGAAGAAGACAGAGGCCCGCUGUGGGUAGAGCCUGGGUCCCUGAAUGACUUCGUGGCAGAGAAGCACCGCAUGCUCCAAAUGCACCUGCGACGUCAGUGAGCAGUAAGGCUAUUUUCCUAUGGAGCCAGGAGAUGGCGGGGUACGGGGGGUGCUAUUUGUUGCCACGCGGAGUCUGCUUUACACACACCAAUAUAUCACGUGUUCGGACAUCACCGGGGUGUUCCAUUGGCUUUAUCUCUGAAAGUUUCCGCUGCGGGCCCUGGGGCUGCUUCUCUGCCCUGUCCUUGACUCUCAGAAUGCCAGCAGCCAAGCCGCCUGAUGGGGGAAGCUGUGGUUGCUCAGAUGAGGAGGAUGCGAAAGAACAUCGCCAGAGGGAGCCUCCCCAGCCCAGAGAAAUGGCCCAGCGACCCAGGCUUCCAACUCUAAUAUUCAUGCGACAGGUUCCCGCAGGACGCCCCGGAUCCUUUCAGCAUCCAUUCUCCUGAGUGUGACACAGGGUGACCGUGCCUCACUCAGAGAGCUGCUUUUCUGGUUGUCAUUCAACAGCUUUUUUAUUUUAUGGCCACACCGGCAGCAUUUGAAAGUUCCCACCAGGCUGGGGGUGGAAUCAGAACGGCAGCUGCAGGCCUACACCACAGCCACAGCAAUGCCAGAUCCCCGACCCACUGAGGGAGGCCAGGGAUCGAACCCAUAUCCUCACAGACACUGUUCGGUUCUUAACCUGCUGAGCCCCAGUGGGGACUCCUUCAUUCACUGGCUCUUUCCUGAAUCAUUCUCCUGCUUUCCUCCCACCAGCACUUACUGCGCACCUGCUGUGUGUCAGGCAGGGUGUUAACCCCUGGACAGAAAGGGAUGGAUAGAAAGUUGCAAACGCCUAAUUGUUGAGAGAGAGUAGAAGCAAGGAGGGCCAGAGUUAAGGGUAGGGGAUGACCACACACGCACGCGGUGUGUGCGACACGUCAUCUCUGUAGGCGGGUGGGUGUGCUGUCCCUCACUGAGUGAGCUAGCACAGCAAGAGAUCAUCGCGGGAGUGGGGACCCUGGGACUUUGUGGGCCCUGGUUAGGGCUUUGGAUUUUACUGUGAAUGAGUUGGAAGCCUUUUCAGCAGAGGGGGGACCUGCACGGACUCGAGUGUGAACAGGUGGCCACAUGGAGAAUGGCCUGGAGGGGCAGGCAGGGAGCAGGGGCUGGUUGGGGCUUGUGUGGUGGUGGGAGGCGAUGGGGAUCGCCUGGACCAG